rnacentral:rRNA from 1 species
UACGGGGGGGGCAAGCGUUGUUCGGAAUUACUGGGCGUAAAGGGCUCGUAGGUGGCCAACUAAGUCGGACGUGAAAUCCCUCAGCUUAACUGGGGAACUGCGUCCGAUACUGGAUGGCUUGAGUUUGGGAGAGGGAUGCGGAAUUCCAGGUGUAGCGGUGAAAUGCGUAGAUAUCUGGAGGAACACUGGUGGCGAAGGCGGCAUCCUGGACCAACACUGACACUGAGGAGCGAAAGCCAGGGGAGCAAACGGG